ACACCGAUGGUGAAGUGGUUAUCAUGCUUGCCUUCCAUUCAUGGUUCAGCAAGCGGCAGGGGUUAGAUUCCCCUUCGGUGUA